AUGUCCACCAACAAUAUGUCGGACCCACGAAGGCCAAAGUGCUGAGGUACAAGCCCCCGCCGAGCGAGUGUAACCCGGCCUUGGACGACCCGACGCCGGACUACAUGAACCUCCUCGGCAUGAUCUUCAGCAUGUGCGGUCUCAUGCUCAAGCUGAAGUGGUGCGCUUGGGUGGCUGUCUACUGCUCCUUCAUCAGCUUUGCCAACUCCCGGAGCUCUGAGGACACUAAACAGAUGAUGAGUAGCUUCACGCUGUCCAUCUCUGCCGUGGUGAUGUCAUAUCUGCAGAACCCUCAGCCCAUGACGCCCCCCUGGUGAUGUCAUCCUAGGACUACUCUGUACACCUUCCCCCAGGCCUGGCCCCUGGCUGUUCAGCCUCUGCCCUCAGCUGCUGUCCUGGGCUUCCCUGAAUGAGGUAGUCUCAGGACUCACAGCUGGAUGGAGGGAACCUGACCCUUUACCUGGGAUUCCACUUCUGCUGGGCAGAGCAGAAUACCCUAGGCCUACCCCUCCUGCCUGCCUUUCCCACCCUGCCUGCUGCUGGGGGAGAUGCUGUCCAUGUUUCUACGUGUAUCCACUCUUUUUGUUGAAACCAGUUAAUUAUUAAUAAAGUUUUGCAUUCU